CCAUAGAGUGAAAGGAGAGAAGAUUAGACUCCUCUCGAUAAGCAUGGAGGAGGUCCUUAGAUCCUGGAUGGCAUGUGAAUGGUUAAUAGACUGCCAUGUAGUUCACAUCACCUGAUCAGAUUUUGGC